UACAGAGGGUGCGAGCGUUGUUCGGAAUUAUUGGGCGUAAAGGGCGCGUAGGCGGUGCGGUAAGUCACCUGUGAAAUCUCCUGGCUCAACUGGGAGCUUGCAGGCGAAACUGCCGUGCUGGAGUGUGGGAGAGGUGCGUGGAAUUCCUGGUGUAGCGGUGAAAUGCGUAGAUAUCAGGAGGAACACCUGUGGCGAAAGCGGCGCAGUGGACCACAACUGACGCUGAGGCGCGAAAGCUAGGGGAGCAAACAGG
rnacentral:rRNA from 1 species